CUUGGGUUAACCAAGGCAUACGGCUCAGUAACACGUAGUUAAUCUGCCCUUAGGUCUAGCCUAAUCCCGGGAAACUGGGGCCGAGGACUGGAUAUUCAAGGGGUACUGGAAUGUCCCUUUGUCGAACUAAGGAUGAGACUGCGGCCUAUCAGGCUGUUGUUUGGGUAAUAUCCUGACAAACCUAUGACGGGUACGGGCCUUGAGAGAGGAAACCCGGAGAUGGAUUCUGAGACAAGAAUCCAGGUCCUACGGGGCGCAGCAGGCGCGAAAAUUUCGCAAUGCGCGCAAGCGCGACGGAGGAAUUUGGAGUGCUUUCUCCUUUGGAGGGAGCUUUUGCCAAGUCUAGACAGCUUGGAGAAUAAGUGGUGGGUAAGACGGGUGCCAGCCGCCGCGGUAAUACCCGCGCCACUAGUGGUAGUCACGUUUAUUGGGUUUAGAGCGUUCGUAGCCUGCCCUGUAAGUUUCUGAUGAAAUCCUAUAGUCAACUGUAGGGCUUGUCAGGGAUACUGCAGGGCUUGGGACCGGGAGAGGCCAGGGGUAUUCCUGGGGUAGGUGUCAAAUCCUAUAAUCCCAGGAGGACCACCGGUGGCGAAGGCGCCUGGCUAGAACGGAUCCGACGGUGAGGGACGAAAGCUAGGGGAGCGAAGCGGAUUAGAUACCCGCGUAGUCCUAGCCGUAAACGAUGCCCACUAGACAUUGGCAACCUCAAGCGGGUUGUCAGAGUCGUAGGGAAACCGUUAAGUGGGCCACCUGGGGAGUACGGUCGCAAGACUGAUACUUAAAGGAAUUGGCGGGA
rnacentral:rRNA from 1 species